GUGCUCACUUCAGCAACAUGUAUACUAAAAUUGGAACAAUACAGAGAAGAUUAGCCUGGCCCCUGUGCAAGGAUGACAUGCAAAUUCAUAAAGCGUUCUGUAUUUUU